UACGUAGGUGGCAAGCGUUGUCCGGAUUUAUUGGGUUUAAAGGGUGCGUAGGCGGUCAUAUAAGUCAGUGGUGAAAUACUUCAGCUCAACUGGAGAGGUGCCAUUGAUACUGUAAGACUUGAGUACAGACGAGGUAGGCGGAAUUGACGGUGUAGCGGUGAAAUGCUUAGAUAUCGUCAAGAACACCGAUAGCGAAGGCAGCUUACUAGACUGUAACUGACGCUGAUGCACGAAAGUGUGGGGAUCAAACAGG
rnacentral:rRNA from 1 species